AUGCUGGGACUACUGGGAAUGCUGGGCAUACUGGGAACGCUGGAGUCGGUGAAGAGUGAAAGUCCCCAGCCCCAGGGCCCCCACCCGCAGGGUCCUGCCCGUCCCUUGGAGGUGGCCCAGCCCGGGGCUCUGUGGGUGCUGUGGGGGGCUGCAGUCCCUGUCCCGCCGCAGCGGCGGGGGGAUGGCGGCGGGAGGGGGGGUUGUUUACAGGAAGCCCUUGGCUCUGGCCGUGUCUCCGGCACCGGAUUGCCGGGACCUCCCGGUUCCGCUCGGCUCGGUGAGGCGACGGGCAGAAGCCGCCUCAUUUCCCCUUCCCCUCCCGGCCAAGCCCAGGAAGCUCCCGGCGCCUUGGCACCACCCUGUCGUGUCCCCCCGGGACCCCCCAGGCCAGCACCCAGCACCCAGGAGCCCCCACCGCAUCCCACCCAUCCCUCCCUGGUGCAUCGCUGCGAUCCCACGUGCCCAAGUCGGGGGCACAAAGCCAAGCGGCUGCUUUUGGGAAUGGGGGUGGGAUUCGGUGCCAAGCGUGGUGUGGGAUUUACCCCGGGUGGGCACAAGCCCUGGCCCCCGAGCCCGGACCCCUUCGGUGCCAGUGCGGUGCUGGGUGGGCCGGGGUCACGCCAGGCCACACGGGCGCUCACAUGCCAAAGCCCGCCAGCUCCUGUGCUGCUCCUGGGAGGGCAUUCCCCUUGGGAAACGAGCCGGGACCCGUCUCCAUCCCAUCCCAACAGGCAUUACCACAGCUGGAGCUGGCACCGCCCAGGAGCCGGGUGCCCCUACAAGGGGGACGAUGGCACCCAGGACCCCCUUGGCAUGGCGGGGUGGCAGCGGGAGCGUGGCGACAGCUCCGGCGGGCUCGGCGCUUCCAUAGGCCUGGCACGGUGCCCGCCUGGGACGCUGCCCAGCCGGAAAGCCCUGUGCCACCCCGCUCUCCCCCAUCCCUCCGGCACCUCCCAGACAAUUGUCCCCCCGCGGCGCCCGCUCGUCCCUGCUGCCACCGCCUCCCUCCUUGCAGCACUGCAGCGGUCCCGAAAAGCUCAUUUUUGA
rnacentral:lncRNA from 1 species